rnacentral:rRNA from 1 species
UACGGAGGGAGCUAGCGUUAUUCGGAAUUACUGGGCGUAAAGCGUGCGUAGGUGGUUUGUUAAGUCUGCUGUGAAAGCCCCGGGCUCAACCUGGGAAUGGCAGUGGAUACUGGCAAGCUAGAGUGCGGUAGAGGGGUGUGGAAUUCCCGGUGUAGCGGUGAAAUGCGUAGAGAUCGGGAGGAACACCCGUGGCGAAGGCGGCCAUCUGGACCAGCACUGACGCUGAGGCACGAAAGCGUGGGGAGCAAACAGG